UACGAAGGGUGCAAACGUUGCUCGGAAUUAUUGGGCGUAAAGCGCACGUAGGCGGCAUUGCAAGUCGGAUGUGAAAUCCCUCGGCUUAACCAAGGAAGUGCAUCCGAAACUGCAGUGCUUGAGUACUUAAGAGGAUCGCGGAAUUCCCGGUGUAGAGGUGAAAUUCGUAGAUAUCGGGAGGAACACCGGUGGCGAAGGCGGCAUCCUGGACCGGUAUUGACACUGAGGCGCGAAAGCCAGGGGAGCAAACGGG
rnacentral:rRNA from 1 species